rnacentral:rRNA from 1 species
CCUACGGGUGGCAGCAGUGGGGAAUAUUGGGCAAUGGGCGCAAGCCUGACCCAGCAACGCCGCGUGAAGGAAGAAGGCUUUCGGGUUGUAAACUUCUUUUGUCAGGGAAGAGGGGAAGACGGUACCUGACGAAUAAGCCACGGCUAACUACGUGCCAGCAGCCGCGGUAAUACGGAGGUGGCAAGCGUUGUCCGGAUUUACUGGGUGGAAAGGGCGGGUAGCCGGGUUGACAAGUCAGAUGUGAAAUCCUGCGGCUUAACCGCAGAACUGCAUUUGAAACUGUUGAUCUUGAGUACUGGAGAUGCAGCUGGACUUCCUCGUGUAGCGGUGCAAUGCGUAGAUAUUAGUAGGCACACCAGUGGCGCAGGCGGUCUGCUGGACAGCAACUGACGGUGAGGCGC